CACGUAGUUAGCCGGCGCUUCUUCUGCAGGUACCGUCACUUUCGCUUCUUCCCUGCUGAAAGAGGUUUACAACCCGAAGGCCGUCAUCCUCACGCGGCGUCGCUGCAUCAGGCUUUCGUCCCACUUGUGCAAUAUUCCCCACCUGCUGCCUCCCGUAGGAGUCUGGGCCGUGUCUCAGUCCCAGUGUGGCCGGUCGCCCUCUCAGGCCGGCUACCCGUCGUCGCCUUGGUGAGCCACUACCUCACCAACAAGCUGAUAGGCCGCGGGCUCAUCCUGCACCGCCGGAGCUUUACACCAUCCACCAUGCGAUGGACAGUCAUAUCCGGUAUUAGACCCCGUUUCCAGGGCUUGUCCCAGAGUGCAGGGCAGAUUGCCCACGUGUUACUCACCCGUUCGCCACUAAUCCCCGCCCGAAAGCGGUUCAUCGUUCGACUUGCAUGUGUUAAGCACGCCGCCAGCGUCGUCUCGAGCCACGGAUCAACUAC
rnacentral:rRNA from 1 species